GAAAGUUCAAACAAGCUUACUUCAUGCAGCAUUUAACAACCAAAUGGAAAUACAAACAACAUGCUUCAAAUUCUAGUUAAUCAAGACAGUUUUGAACAUCUACUGUUUACCAUAUUCGUUCUUCAUAGUUGUCUGUUUUUUUUGUUCCUUGUGUUCAUGGACUUACUCAAGCUAUGUUCACUACUUUUGGUAUACAGUUUGCUUGAACUUGUGUUGUUGCUGGUAAGUAGAAGCAAAUGCUUCCAACUGUGUCCUGCCCCCCAUCCCCCCGGCAACUGCUUGAGGCGACAUCAGCAAAAUCCUGACCAACCAUUUUUGUUGCAAUGACUUUUAGGUUUUUUUUCUUAGUCAAAUGAAAUUUGUAUUAAAAUAAUGGAAACUACAGUGUAAAAUCAGCCCAUAUAUGAGGGUCAAGGCCAGGAUAUACAAUCAAGGUAUAGUACCAUUAAACAAAAGAUUCUCCUAUUGGUGCUUAAUUAGUUCCGCAAAACAAUGCAAACGUUUUAAACAAAUCAAAAUAUUAACAUAAAAUAAAAGGCAACAUCUCAAUUUAAUAAAAACAUCAAAAGUUACCAUUGUGCUGAAAAUGUCAUAUUGCUUUUAACUCCAAACUUCAUUAGGAAAUUUGUAAAAUAAUUUCCUUUUCAUAAAGAAUGGGUAAAGGACACCAUACCUAGUGAAAGAACAAGUGCAUCAACCUCGUUAAAUAAAUGCCAAUUGUCCCAUGGCCUCGUAUCAAUGUUAAUCACCUACGAUAAAGCAUUCUUGGAGUCAGAUUCAAUAAUCAACUUAGAAUUUACAAAGGAGGAACGGGAGAAAAGAAGCAGUGCAUGGAGAAUGGCCAUAAACUCUACAAAGUUGGAAUCUUGGAUGUCAAGUUUUUCAAAAUUAAAAUUAAUAAAUGUGUUGAUUAUAUUUUUAAUUAAAAAAAAUAUUAAAAAAUUUUGAUUAUAAAAACAUAAUUAAAAAUUUUACAUCUCAAAAUGUUAGAAGAAUAAAAUUUUAAUAAAAAAUAUUAUUUAAAUAUUUUUAUUUAAAACAUUUGAAGAUAUUGAGCCACUUUGUAUUAACGCCAUCACCUGCUCGCACCGGAACAUAAAUCGCAAUCUAGUAAGAAAGAAUAUUGCGAAUCAGUCUCGUUUUUUGUUGUUAAAAACCGAUUCAUUAUAAGCAAACCACAAGGUCCAAAAGUAGACAGCAUAAACUAUCAUCUACUGCUUGUGUGUCAUCUGCCAAGGCUCAACCAACCCAAGAUUGCAAAAACAAUAAACCAUGACAUGCCCCAGCAAGAAGGUUAGUUGGCUUACUGUUUUGGCUGACGAGUAGAUCAAUUAAGGAGCCGGUCCCCAUUCAUUCAUUGAUUCCCAGUCCUUGAUAACUGUCGAUCUGAUGACUUGUUAAUUAUUUGUACCAAGAUUUUCUUCCCCCAAAAGUUUUGAACCUCACA
rnacentral:lncRNA from 1 species